AACGCACGAGACCUGCGGACCUGCGGAGGGAUCAUUAAUGAGAAGCUGCCCCUCGUGGGUAGGCCUCCCACCCUCUGUGAACUUACCUUUGUUGCUUUGGCAGGCCCGUCCUCUGGACCGCCGGCUUCGGCUGGCCCGUGCCUGCCAGAGGAUUCCAAACCCUGUCUGUCAGUGUUGUCUGAGUCUAUAUGAAAUCGUUAAAACUUUCAGCAACGGAUCUCUAGAUCGGAAGAGCACACG
rnacentral:misc_RNA from 1 species